GGUCCACCUGCGGACCUAACAAUGCAGGACGGCGGGAGAUGGCGACCUCCUAAAACGCCUA
rnacentral:ncRNA from 1 species